rnacentral:rRNA from 1 species
GACGAACGCUGGCGGCGUGCUUAACACAUGCAAGUCGAACGGAAAGGCCCUGCUUUUGUGGGGUGCUCGAGUGGCGAACGGGUGAGUAACACGUGAGUAACCUGCCCUUAACUUUGGGAUAACUUCAGGAAACUGGGGCUAAUACCGGAUAGGAGCUCCUGCUGCAUGGUGGGGGUUGGAAAGUUUCGGCGGUUGGGGAUGGACUCGCGGCUUAUCAGCUUGUUGGUGGGGUAGUGGCUUACCAAGGCUUUGACGGGUAGCCGGCCUGAGAGGGUGACCGGCCACAUUGGGACUGAGAUACGGCCCAGACUCCUACGGGAGGCAGCAGUGGGGAAUAUUGCACAAUGGGCGGAAGCCUGAUGCAGCAACGCCGCGUGCGGGAUGACGGCCUUCGGGUUGUAAACCGCUUUCGCCUGUGACGAAGCGGGAGUGACGGUAAUGGGUAAAGAAGCACCGGCUAACUACGUG